CCGCCUGCUGACGUCAGCGCCUGCCUACGCCGCCGUUCCCAUGGCGACCGAUGCGUCCCGCGCUCUAGGCGAAGACCGCGGCCCCGUCCCCGCGCCUCCACCGCCUUCUUCCAGGAGGAGGGGCCGUGCGGCGCCUGCCCGGGGGCCCUCAGGCCGCAGGCGGGCGCGAGCUUCAGGGAACUUAGGGGGCUCCCGCCUCCCCGGCCACGCGAGCGGGAACAGUCUCCUCCACUCGGAGCGGCGCCAUCUUCAGCUCUGAGUCACCAGGGCUGGAAAAAUACUAGAUGCGCUACUCGUGGACUCGUGAAUACACUCGUGAAUACAGGCCAUUUCCUGUACCUACAGCCACCCGCUGUAAGCUGUUGCUUCAUUUGUACAGUAAGAGUUUAUGGAGGCCAGCUUUUCCAUUCUUACUGACAUUGCCACACCUUACAAACUAUAUGUCUUGUGCUUCCCUAAAUCCUGUGAGGAAGCAACGAGAAAGAUUACUAAUCCAAUGCGUACCGAACUGAGCUGUUCAACUUUCCGUUCUAAACAUACUCUCCUAGAUUUCUAUCUUGCUGUAAGCCACCACAAUCCUCCCAGUGUUUUAGUAAGAACAGUAGAGUAUCCUAAAUGCAUCUUAUGCCAAAGCAUAUCCAUUCUCUCUUUUUAACUUCCUCAGAUGGGCCCUUUACCAGUUCUCUGACUCCAGUUUGACUCUUAAAUUCUCCACACUGCUAUCAGAAUGACCUGACUAAAAAUGUAAAUCGGAUAAUGGCACUCUCCUGCUGAAAAUUUUUGAAAGGCAAUCUGUAAGAGAAAAUGAUUACUUUGCCUAGGAUACAAGAUUCUCCAUCUCCCUGACUAGUUUCAUCUCUCGUUAGCUUCUUGUUCCAAUUUUAUGCAAUAUUGAAUCAUGUGUACCAUGCAGUUUUAUGCAACAUUGAAUUAUGUGUACCAUGAAAAACAAUCCAUAGCCUUUCACGCCCCGUCCUUACUCAUAUUGUCCUCUCUUCCUGAAAAUUCCUCCUUUUACACUCCUGCAUCACAGCCAAAUGUUGUCCAUCCUUUGAAUCUUAAGCAGGUUGACUGACUCCUUCAAACACUCCUACUCCCUAUUAGACUUCGGAUACUCAUUCUAUAUAUUAGACUUUGGAUGCUCAUUCUAUAGUUUCAUAGUUUACUUUGUAUUUUCUCUAUCCCCAGCAUCUACCACAGUGUCUAUGAAAUAGUUGGCAUUUCAUGAACAUUUGUUGAAUGAAUAAUGGAUAACAUAUAUUGAGCUCCUUCUAGGAGGUAUGCAUUGUAGGUGUUUUAUGUACUUUUCAUCUGUCCUCACAACUGCAUUUAAGUACCUGCUUUUCCAAAGGGAAGUUAUAACUCUGACUGCUCAUUCUUAGUAGGGUGUUAGUUUCAGAAUACAAUCCCCAGACUAGCGGAUGUGUAACCCUGUUAUCAUCUCUUGCUUCUCCAUUUACAGUAGCAUGCAGAGGUGCAGUGGGGUGGGGGAGGUCAGGGAAUAUUUCAUAGCAGAAGUGACAUUUAAGUAAAGACCAAAAUAAUGUGUAGAGUUGUCCAGGUUAGGAAGGGUU
rnacentral:lncRNA from 1 species